rnacentral:rRNA from 1 species
UACGGAGGGUGCAAACGUUGCUCGGAAUCAUUGGGCGUAAAGCGCACGUAGGCGGUUUGUUAAGUUGGAUGUGAAAGCCCUCGGCUUAACCGAGGAAGUGCAUCCAAAACUGGCAAGCUUGAGUACGGAAGAGGGUCUCGGAAUUCCCGGUGUAGAGGUGAAAUUCGUAGAGAUCAGGAGGAACACCAAUUGCGAAGGCAGCACUCUGGGACGUGACUGACGCUGAGACGCGAAAGCGUGGGGAGCAAACAGG